AAUAGCACCAACAAUAGAAGAAAUCCUGAAACUAAAUUACCUCACGCUUCCCCAACAAUGCAAAAGAGACUUACAAAAAUGGUCUCAAACGCACAUCUCCUGGCUAGGAAAAAUUAACGCAUACAAGAUGAUGUUACUGCCCAAACUUCUCUACAUAUUUAGAAUGCUUCCCAUCCAAGCCCCACAAACACUCCUCAACUCCCUACAAAACAUCUGCAGCUCAUUCAUAUGGGGAAACAAGAAACCACGCAUAUCCCGCACCUUACUCUACAAACAUCCUAAAAAUGGAGGAGUAGGGUUACCCAACCUAAACCAGUAUUAUAAAGCCACGAUGUUGGCAUCGGGCAUACUGAUGCACUUAAAUCGGGGUAUCAUCCAAUGGGUAGACAUGGAAAGAGCCCAACUGGACAAAAACGCAACGCUCGACUUCCUAUGGACACCGACAAAACAUAGACCAGACAAACCAAACCUAUACCCCACCACAACACUGACCGUCCACAUUUGGUCUAAAUUCUUAGAUACAGUAGGGGCCAAAGAAACAUUCCACCCCAACGCACCUCUAACCGCCCUAAG